rnacentral:rRNA from 1 species
GAUGAACGCUGGCGGCGUGCCUAAUACAUGCAAGUCGAGCGAACGGACGAGAAGCUUGCUUCUCUGAUGUUAGCGGCGGACGGGUGAGUAACACGUGGAUAACCUACCUAUAAGACUGGGAUAACUUCGGGAAACCGGAUCUAAUACCGGAUAAUAUUUUGAACCGCAUGGUUCAAAAGUGAAAGACGGUCUUGCUGUCACUUAUAGAUGGAUCCGCGCUGCAUUAGCUAGUUGGUAAGGUAACGGCCUACCAAGGCAACGAUGCAUAGCCGAGCUGAGAGGGUGAUCGGCCACACUGGAACUGAGACACGGUCCAGACUCCUACGGGAGGCAGCAGUAGGGAAUCUUACGCAAUGGGCGAAAGCCUGACGGAGCAACGCCGCGUGAGUGAUGAAGGUCUUCGGAUCGUAAAACUCUGUUAUUAGGGAAGAACAUAUGUGUAAGUAACUGUGCACAUCUUGACGGUACCUAAUCAGAAAGCCACGGCUAACUACGUG